rnacentral:rRNA from 1 species
UACGUAGGGGGCGAGCGUUGUCCGGAAUCAUUGGGCGUAAAGCGCGUGUAGGCGGCCCGGUAAGUCCGCUGUGAAAGUCCAGGGCUCAACCCUGGGAUGCCGGUGGAUACUGUCGGGCUCGAGUCCGGAAGAGGCGAGUGGAAUUCCCGGUGUAGCAGUGAAAUGCGUAGAGAUCGGGAGGAACAUCAGUUGCGAAGGCGGCUCUCUGGACCAGUACUGACGCUGAGGCACGAAAGCGUGGGGAGCAAACAGG